rnacentral:rRNA from 1 species
AGGCAGCAGUAAGGAAUAUUGGUCAAUGGACGCAAGUCUGAACCAGCCAUGCCGCGUGAAGGAUGAAGGCCCUCUGGGUUGUAAACUUCUUUUAUCUGGGACGAAAAACGGGCUUUCUAGCUCACUUGACGGUACCAGAGGAAUAAGCACCGGCUAACUCCGUGCCAGCAGCCGCGGUAAUACGGAGGGUGCAAGCGUUAUCCGGAUUUACUGGGUUUAAAGGGUGCGUAGGUGGGUAAGUAAGUCAGUGGUGAAAUCUCCGAGCUUAACUCGGAAACUGCCAUUGAUACUAUUUAUCUUGAAUUAUCUGGAGGUAAGCGGAAUAUGUCAUGUAGCGGUGAAAUGCUUAGAUAUGACAUAGAACACCGAUUGCGAAGGCAGCUUACUACGGAUAUAUUGGCACUGAGGCACGAAAGCGUGGGGAUCAAACAGGAUUAGAUACCCUGGUAG